UGUGAAGUGGAUUGAGAUAUUGAGAUUGCCUCAAAGAAAGAAUAUGUUGUUCACUAUCGGUCGUGUUCUCUAUCAAACCUGGGAAGCUGUUAAAAAGCGACGAGGCAAGGCACACAACAGCCACACAACAAUCACAACCACACAACGAUAAUCGAAUAAUACUAAAAAAUUACAAAAACGAACCUGGAAGGAAGAUCCCGCACGGCACCACCACACCACCGAACUGCACCCACCGCACCACCGCACUGCACUACACUCAGGCACUACCACUCAGCAAAGUAAACGAAGGACUGAAGGAUGUGGAAAGAACGUGAGAGAAGAAGAGGCACGGGGCUCAAAAUGUUUUGGGGGGUGCUGUGAAGGAGAGUAAAGGUAAAUUUAGGGUUAGGUAAAAAAAGUAAAAAAUAAAAAUGUAAAAAGGGUAUAAAAGUAAAAGAAUAAGGACAGUUUUGUAAUUAAAAAAAA